UGGGGAAUUUUGGACAAUGGGCGCAAGCCUGAUCCAGCAAUGCCGCGUGCAGGAUGAAGGCCUUCGGGUUGUAAACUGCUUUUGUACGGAACGAAACGGUUCUUUCUAAUACAGAGAGCUAAUGACGGUACCGUAAGAAUAAGCACCGGCUAACUACGUGCCAGCAGCCGCGGUAAAACGUAGGAGGCAAGCGUUAUCCGGAGUAACUGGGCGUAAAGGGCGAGUAGGUGGUUUAAUAAGUUGGUUAUGAAAGCUCCUGGCUAAACUGGGAGAGGCUGACCAAGACUGUUAGACUUGAGUGGAGAAGAGGUAAACGGAAUUCCGCGUGUAGUGGUGAAAUGCGUAGAGAUGCGGAAGAACACCAGUGGCGAAGGCGGUUUACUGGUCUCCAACUGACACUGAGCCGCGAAAGCAUGGGUAGCGAA
rnacentral:rRNA from 1 species